rnacentral:rRNA from 1 species
UACGUAGGGUGCAAGCGUUAAUCGGAAUUACUGGGCGUAAAGCGUGCGCAGGCGGUUGGGUAAGUCAGAGGUGAAAUCCCCGAGCUUAACUUGGGAACUGCCUUUGUGACUGCAUAGCUAGAGUGUGUCAGAGGGGGGUAGAAUUCCACGUGUAGCAGUGAAAUGCGUAGAGAUGUGGAGGAAUACCGAUGGCGAAGGCAGCCCCCUGGGAUAACACUGACGCUCAUGCACGAAAGCGUGGGGAGCAAACCGG